rnacentral:rRNA from 1 species
UACGUAGGGUGCAAGCGUUAAUCGGAAUUACUGGGCGUAAAGCGUGCGCAGGCGGUUGUGCAAGACAGAUGUGAAAUCCCCGGGCUUAACCUGGGAACUGCAUUUGUGACUGCACGGCUAGAGUGUGUCAGAGGGGGGUAGAAUUCCACGUUUAGCAGUGAAAUGCGUAGAUAUGUGGAGGAACACCGAUGGCGAAGGCAGCCCCCUGGGAUAACACUGACGCUCAUGCACGAAAGCGUGGGGAGCAAACAGG